ensembl:lncRNA
CCUGUACUCCUUGCUUGGUUCCUGCAAUAAAGCCUGUGGUUUGCUUCACCACAAUCUGCGAUCAGUAGAUUGACUUUAUUGUAUAUGGGAGAGUGUCCCCAAGUUUGGCUUGGUGACAAUCUUAGCCUACCAUACACCUAUUCCUUUCUUCUCCCAGCUACAGAGAUGGGCAUAUGCCCCCAAACCAGGGCUGUCAAGACUCCUUCUCAGAACCUCUUCAGGGGAUUUGCAGAUGUUCUCAUACAAUAGGAGCUGUCAGACUGGUACUUUGCCAGUCUUGGGGUGCUGGGGAUGCUCAUGCCUGCUCCAUGAGGAGAGUUUGAGGGACACAGUAUUUGUGCACUUCAUCUAGCUGUGCCUCGGGGCAGUGUAACUUCUGGACUUUGUAGCUGACGUGGCCCCCAAAUACCUUUUUAUUGCUUAAGUGAAAUUCUGUCAGGUGUAGUCAAUAGUCUGCCUAAUUUCAUUAGGGCUUUACUGCUUUAGCUGAAUACUUUCCUGGCAAGUUUAUAAAGACUGGGAAUUGCUUUAGGAGUUGAGCCAUCACAGGACCUUCUUGGUCAAGUUUGUGUUUUCCCUGGCAAUUAAAUUCCUUUAACAUCCAGCAAGUGCCAGAAAUCUUACUGAGUCACGAUUCCAGAAUCCAGAUUCUGCCUCUGAUGUUUCAGUCUCUUGGCAACAGCAGUUGCCUGUCCCUGAAGCGCUAGGUCACAGUUGAAUACUUUUGUUUUUGCUGCUACCUGUGAAACAACAGAACAUAGGGCUGCUACUCGGGAUCUGAGGUGGACGAUUGGCAAUGGACUGGGCAUGUGGCCAGUGAGGACAGAGCCUGAUCUCCCACACCUGGACUCAUGCCAGAUUUCAGAUGUUAUUUCUUUCUCUGCUCAUGUCUUCUUGCUGAAUCAGACAGAAGUGAGCCUAUGGAUGAAGGGCACUAAGGCCCAGAGCUGACUAGGGCCGAGGAAAGUGAAGACAGCUGUACAGUGGACACACUGCCUUGGUACCUUAGAGAGCCCUCGAGCAGACCAGCCCCAGCACUUGAACAGAGCAUUCCUCUUCAGGGGACGAAAAUCAUGGUCCAGAUCAAGAAGCAUAAACGAGGAAAUUGGAAAUCCCACAUUGUUCUAUUUCCGAGUGAAAAGCUUUGACUCACCACUAGAGGGCACUAUUCACCCUCUCAUCUUUCUGAAGGCGUCAGCCCAGCAGGGCUCGCUUUCAAAUGAAAAUAACUGCAUUUACUAAGGCAUACGUCAGAGAUAUUGCGGAUUCACUUCAAGAUGGCUGCAAUAAAGUGAAUAUCACAAAAAAGGUGAAUUACUCAACUUUCUCUUCCACACUGGUGGCCAUAUAUCUUUGGAUGUAAUGAAGAGCACUUUCUCCCCAAGAUGAAGGAUGGAAGAAAAUGUUAAAUAGCUUCAGAUCUAGGAUGAUCUUCUGCAUGAAUUUCAGUUAAAAAUUUCAGGGUCAUCUGCAAUAAAAUUUACUUAAAUCAAGUAAAACAAACAAAAUACUCUUAUAAGCUAUGUGAACAUGAAAGUGUAGUUGUUCAGUCAUGUCUGAAUCUUUGCAACCCCGUGGGCUAUGGACUGUAGCCCGCCAGGCUCCUCUGUCCAUGGGAUUCUCCAGGCAAGAAUACUGGAGUGGGCUGCUAUUCCCUUCUCCAGGUGAUCUCCCAACCUGGAGAUCAAACGUGGAUUUCCUGCAUUGCAGGCAGCUCAGAUUCCCUGAGCCACCAAGGAAGCUAUGGGGAUUACUUAAAUGUCUAGAAGAAGGAAAUUUAUUCAUACCAGUUGAGAAUUGAACAUUUCAUUUUUGGACUGGUCUUUUGACAAGGAGUAAGCUUUUUUAACUUAUGUGCAGAGCACAUCAUGUGAAAUGCCAUGCUGGAUGAAGCACAAGCUGGAAUCUAGACUGC